ACUCCUAGCGGGGAGGCAGCAGGUGGGGAAUAUUGGACAAUGGGGGGAAACCCUGAUCCAGCCAUGCCGCGUGUGUGAAGAAAGGCCCUUCGGGGUUGUAAAGCACUUUCAGUGGGGAGGAAAGGUUGAUGGUUAAUACCUAUCAGCUGUGACGUUACCCACAGAAGAAGCACCGGCUAACUCCGUGCCAGCAGCCGCGGUAAUACGGAGGGUGCAAGCGUUAAUCGGAAUUACUGGGCGUAAAGCGUGCGCAGGCGGUCUGUUAAGCGAGAUGUGAAAGCCCCGGGCUCAACCUGGGAACUGCAUUUCGAACUGGCAGACUAGAGUCUUGUAGAGGGGGUAGAAUUCCAGGUGGUAGCGGUGAAAUGCGUAGA
rnacentral:rRNA from 1 species